ACGAAGGGUGCAAACGCUGCUCGGAAUUAUUGGGCGUAAAGCGCACGUAGGCGGCAUUGCAAGUCGGAUGUGAAAUCUUAUGGCUUAACCAUAAAAGUGCAUCCGAAACUGCAGUGCUUGAGUACUUAAGAGGAUCGCGGAAUUCCCGGUGUAGAGGUGAAAUUCGUAGAUAUCGGAAGGAACACCAGUGGCGAAAGCGGCUCCCUGGUCCAGCACCGACGUUCAGGCACGAAAGCGUGGGGAGCAAACAGGA
rnacentral:rRNA from 1 species